UAUUACAGAUGACAAACAAUUUGUUAGUAAUAUCACUGUUUAUAUCUUAUCUGGAUAAGAUACUCAAUUAGACAUCAAGAUGACUCGUACACUCAAAAGAUACUAAGAGUAUAGAAGCCAAAAGAGAAACUUGAGUGAUGCAAAAGUUAAAAUUGCUACGAUGGUGCUCACCACAUGUACUCGCAAGUCAAGUUCCUCAAGAUGAAGCAUUAAUAACGCAGCCCUGACAAAAUAAUGCAAAUUUGAAGAAUUCAUAAACAUAAAAAGAACUAACUACUAAUUAAGGUAUAGACUAGAAGAAAUAAUAAAAAUUAAAAUGUAAUAUAAUACUUAGCUACCUACGUUUCGCUACUUCAUACUGAACUGAACCGGAGCCUGACAAUGCACCACACGACCUUUUUCUGAUUAUGUAAAACGCCAUGAAUAGAAUAGAAUUGAUCACAUCUCACAAGGAAGGAGGAGUGAUAUCGCCAAGAAGAAAUUACUGUCUCAAUGCGUAAAAUAUUACUCUACGAAGCAAGAAGGCUAAGAAUAAAGAAAGAAAAGAAAG